GACGAACGCUGGCGGCGUGCUUAACACAUGCAAGUCGAACGCUGAAGCUUGGUGCUUGCACUGGGUGGAUGAGUGGCGAACGGGUGAGUAAUACGUGAGUAACCUGCCCUUGACUCUGGGAUAAGCCUGGGAAACUGGGUCUAAUACUGGAUACGACAUGUCACCGCAUGGUGGUGUGUGGAAAGGGGUUUACUGGUUUUGGAUGGGCUCACGGCCUAUGAGCUUGUUGGGGGGGUAAUGGCUCACCAAGGCGACGACGGGUAGCCGGCCUGAGAGGGUGACCGGCCACACUGGGACUGAGACACGGCCCAGACUCCUACGGGAGGCAGCAGUGGGGAAUAUUGCACAAUGGGCGAAAGCCUGAUGCAGCGACGCCGCGUGAGGGAUGACGGCCUUCGGGUUGUAAACCUCUUUCAGCACGGAAGAAGCGAAAGUGACGGUACGUGCAGAAGAAGCGCCGGCUAACUACGUG
rnacentral:rRNA from 1 species